rnacentral:rRNA from 1 species
AUUAGAUACCCCUGGUAGUCCACGCUGUAAACGAUGUCGACUUGGAGGUUGUUCCCUUGAGGAGUGGCUUCCGGAGCUAACGCGUUAAGUCGACCGCCUGGGGAGUACGGCCGCAAGGUUAAAACUCAAAUGAAUUGACGGGGGCCCGCACAAGCGGUGGAGCAUGUGGUUUAAUUCGAUGCAACGCGAAGAACCUUACCUACUCUUGACAUCCAGAGAACUUAGCAGAGAUGCUUUGGUGCCUUCGGGAACUCUGAGACAGGUGCUGCAUGGCUGUCGUCAGCUCGUGUUGUGAAAUGUUGGGUUAAGUCCCGCAACGAGCGCAACCCUUAUCCUUUGGUUGCCAGCGNUCCGGCCGGGAACUCAAAGGAGACUGCCAGUGAUAAACUGGAGGAAGGUGGGGAUGACGUCAAGUCAUCAUGGCCCUUACGAGUAGGGCUACACACGUGCUACAAUGGCAUAUACAAAGAGAAGCGACCUCGCGAGAGCA